AAGGAAGGAAGCAAAAGGCCUGAAGGAUAAGAUGAGACAAGGCUGAAGCAGGAUCAUUAAAUCAUAAACCUGGAGCACCUGGAUAGUGAGUAGAGUGAAAACAAGCUCAGGGCUCCCACUGAUUGUACAUUAUGGUGAGACGUGGUCUUGUAACACAGUGGUUAAGAAUGUGACUUUGGAGCCAGCCUGCUAGGGGCUGAAUUCUGACUCAGCCAUUUACUAACUGUGUGACCUUAGGGAGGAGGACCUGGUUGAUAGAAGAAUUUAUCUCGUAGUCUUAACAUCCACUGUAAUUCCAAACUUUGAGGACGAUAGAGAUCAGUGGGCUUUGACUGCCCAGCAUGCAGUCUCCAUUCUUAGGUGGAGUCUCACUCUGUAGCCCAAGCUGGAGUGGCGUGAUCUCGACUCACUGCAACCUCCGCCUCCUGGGAUCAAGUGAUUCUCGUGCCUCAGCCUCCUGAGUAGCCGGGACUACAGGUCACAGAAUUUUCCACACUCCUUGACAGAGGUGCUUAACCCUUAUCCAUCAGCAUUCUCAGACAGCACCUCCGGUUAGGGACAGUAUCUGACCGUCCGACAUCCCUGCAGCCCCCAUGUGUCACACAGACUCAGCCUCAGGUAGAUGGUUUCCGUAGAUGGUGGCUUUCUUUGGACCCUUGACAUCAACCAGUUACUAUUUGGGGACCAGAUGUGCAGAGGUAAUGAAUACCAGGGAAUCAGGAAACCACUGGAUCAGUUCUUUGAGCCACAGAACAACACUCAUCCCAGCAGCUGGGAAGCUAUCUGCAAAAGUCCAUCUGCAGAAAGGGCUUCCUGGUCUUGCGUGUGGCUGGGCCAUUUCUCUGGAUGCAGGUUUUUCAUUAUACAGUCUUCUCAAAGAACCACCUGCUCUCAACACCUUCUCGGUGACUCCAUUUCCCCUCCUCU
rnacentral:lncRNA from 10 species